AGGUGGAAUAGACGGUGUCUUCGCUAACUGUGAAGUCGUCUAGUCCACUGAUGUUAAACAAUGUUCAGAGAAGCGUGUAUCAGUGGACUGGACGACUUCACAGUUAGCAAAGACUGUUCUUAUGUCCAUCU